rnacentral:rRNA from 1 species
CCCUUAGAUGUUCUGGGCUGCACGCGCGCUACACUGAUGCGCUCAACGAGUUUUAACCUUGCCUGGAAAGGUUGGGUAAUCUUUUUAAAACGCAUCGUGAUGGGGAUAGAUUAUUGCAAUUAUUAAUCUUCAACGAGGAAUUCCUAGUAAGCGCGAGUCAUCAGCUCGUGCUGAUUACGUCCCUGCCCUUUGUACACACCGCCCGUCGCUCCUACCGAUUGAGUGCUCAGGUGAAUAAUUCGGACUGCAGCAAUGUUUGGAUCCCGAACGUUGCAGCGGAAAGUUUAGUGAACCUUAUCACUUAGAGGAAGGAGAANUCGUANCA